AUAAAUUAUAUCUUACUUUUAAUUUAUUAUUGUUUUGAGAAAUAUCUUUUUUUUUAGUAUACUAAAGAACCAAUUAUUUAUGUUAUAGUGCAUUAGUACUGUCAAGGAAUAGAUGAAAUAAUUUAAAUUUAAUUUUUUUUUAAGUAUACUUUAUUUGUAGUACCUUUUGUAUCAGGGUUAAUUAAAUAAAUAAAUUUAUUUUUUUUAUCUCGAUUUCAAAAGAGCUAAAUUGUUAUUUUUUUUAAUGUAGCAUAAUUAUGUGAAAUAUAAUUUAGUGGAGAAAUUCCAUUCGUUUUUGAGGGUAUCUAGUUUUUUAAGAAUUAAAUUUAAUUUAGCUUUAUUAUUUAAAUAUUAUAUUACCCUAAUAAUUAUUUAAUAAUUUUAAAAUUAUGGGGGAUAAGCUCCAUAUUUUUCUAUAAAACUUUUGUUAAUUAAUUUUGGUAGGUUUAAAAUUAUCCAUCAUUAGUAAUUAUGUUAUAAUUUAUAUUUAAUAUUAAUUAAUUUUUGUUUUUUUAGUACAAUAUUAAAAUAUUAAAAUUAACUCACUAUUUUAUGAAAUAAUGAUUAAAUCAGUAUAAGAAAAUAUUUAUAAUUUUAUAUAUCAUAUGAUAAAAUAAGGAACUCGGCAAUUAAAUCUCUCGCCUGUUUAACAAAAACAUGUCCUUUUGAAUUUAAUUUAAGGUCUGACCUGCCCAGUGAUUGAAUUUAACGGCCGCGGUAUAUUGACCGUGCAAAGGUAGCAUAAUCAUUAGUCUUUUAAUAGAGGGCUGGAAUGAAUGGUUUAACGAGGAGAUAACUGUCUCAUUUUAUUUGUUUUAGAAUUUAAUUUUUUGGUUAAAAAGCUAAAAUUUUAUUGGAAGACGAGAAGACCCUAUAGAUCUUUAUAUAAUUUUUGUAUUUAUUUAUUUAUUAAUAUAUUUAUUAUAAUAUUAUAUUUUGUUGGGGUGACAAAAAUAUAUGAAAAACUUUUUUAUUUAUUUACCAUUAAUAUAUGACUAUUAGAUCCAUUAUUAGUGAUUGCUAGAAUAAGUUACCUUAGGGAUAACAGCGUAAUCCCCUUCCAGAGUUCAUAUUUACAAGGGGGCUUGCGACCUCGAUGUUGGAUUAAGAUAAUAAUUAGGUGUACCGCUUAAUUUAUAGGUCUGUGCGACCUUUAAACUCUUACAUA
rnacentral:rRNA from 1 species